rnacentral:rRNA from 1 species
ACGGGGGCCCGGCGACAAGCGGCGGAGCAUGUGGAUUAAUUCGAUGCAACGCGAAGAACCUUACCUGGGCUUGACAUACACCAGAUCGGCGCAGAGAUGCGUUUUCCCUUUGUGGUUGGUGUACAGGUGGUGCAUGGUUGUCGUCAGCUCGUGUCGUGAGAUGUUGGGUUAAGUCCCGCAACGAGCGCAACCCUUGUCUUAUGUUGCCAGCACGUGAUGGUGGGGACUCAUGAGAGACUGCCGGGGUUAACUCGGAGGAAGGUGGGGAUGACGUCAAAUCAUCAUGCCCCUUAUGUCCAGGGCUUCACACAUGCUACAAUGGUCGGUACAACGCGUGUGCGACACUGUGAGGUGAAGCUAAUCGCUCUAAAGCCGGUCGUAGUUCGGAUUGGGGUCUGCAACUCGACCCCAUGAAGUCGGAGUCGCUAGUAAUCGCAGAUCAGCAUGUCACGGUGAAUACGUUCCCGGGCCUU